GACAGAGGGUGCAAACGUUGUUCGGAUUUACUGGGCGUAAAGCGCGUGUAGGCGGCUUGGCAAGUCGGAUGUGAAAGCCCACGGCCCAACCGUGGAAGCGCAUCCGAAACGGCCUCGCUCGAGUCUCGGAGAGGAAGGUGGAAUGCUUGGUGUAGAGGUGAAAUUCGUAGAUAUCAAGCAGAACACCUGCGGCGAAGGCGGCCUUCUGGACGAUGACUGACGCUGAGACGCGAAAGCGUGGGGAGCAAACAGG
rnacentral:rRNA from 1 species